rnacentral:sRNA from 21 species
GUCAGAAACCCCACGCAUAAAUGCGGGGGCUUGAAAAAGCUCUAAUCUGACCAGUCGA